GCCUCCUUAGCUCAGUCGGUAGAGCGUUUCCAUGGUAAGGAAAAAGGUCGUCAGUUCGAUUCUGACAGGGGGCUCCA
rnacentral:tRNA from 1 species